GUAUUGAAGUGAAGGCAUGCACAUCGGUUUCUAAUACAAAGUGUAGAUGUACUGAUGGAUUCCGGUGCUCAGGAGAAGAGUGUGAGGAAUGCUACUGUGAUGUAGGCAGUGGCCAGGAGAACAAUGCAUGUCAGCCCUGUCCAGAUGGAUAUUAUACAGACCAACUGAACAUGAAAUGUAAAAAAUGGACCAACUGUUCAGAACUUGGGGUGAAAACAAAUGGGACCAGAACUAGUGAUGUGGUCUGCCAUGAGGCUUCUCGUACCAUUAUACCAGCGAGAACUGCCUCAACAACCAGGGCUACAGCCCCAGCAGUGACUACAGUAGCAGGAUUCUCCAUUGAUACUAUUGUCACAAGAGUAACCACUACACAUAUACCUCCAGGUGAAUCAAAUGUUCCGUUUGUGGGUUUAGUUAUAGUCGGCAUGUUUCUGGUGCUUGCCCCAGUUGUUGCAUUUUCCAGACUGGUCAGGCCUUGCAUUAUCAAUAGGAAUAAACCUGUGACAAAGACUGCACGAGACAACAGCUGCCGGAUCCCAAUUCAGGAGGAAGAUGAGAAAAGCAAUUCUACAAUAGUUAAAAACUAAUCUGCGGAAAAAUAAGACGUCUGGGUUUUUUUUGUUUUGUUUUGUUUUGUUUUGUUUUGAAACCAAAUG